rnacentral:rRNA from 1 species
ACACGUAGGGGGCGAGCGUUGUUCGGAAUCAUUGGGCGUAAAGGGCGCGCAGGCGGCGAGGCAAGUCCGGUGUGAAAGUGCUCGGCUCAACCGAGUGAUGCGCUGGAAACUGCCCUGCUUGAGUACAGGAGGGGACGUCGGAAUUCCAGGUGUAGGGGUGAAAUCUGGAGAUAUCUGGAAGAACACCGGUGGCGAAGGCGGACGUCUGGCAAUGUACUGACGCUGAGGCGCGAAGGUGCGGGGAGCGAACAGGUUUAGAUACCCUGGUAGUCCGCACAGUAAACGAUGUGCACCAGGUGGCGGGGGGUAGCCCUCGGUACCGAAGCCAACGCAUUAAGUGCACCGCCUGGGGAGUAUGCUCGCAAGGGUGAAACUCAAAUGAAUUGACGGGG